rnacentral:tRNA from 1 species
GCCUCCGUAGCUCAGGGGAUAGAGCACCGCUCUCCUAAAGCGGGUGCCGCAGGUUCGAAUCCUGCCGGAGGCGCCC